CAGCCGCGGUAAUACGGAAGGUCCGGGCGUUAUCCGGAUUUAUUGGGUUUAAAGGGAGCGUAGGCCGGAGAUUAAGUGUGUUGUGAAAUGUAGACGCUCAACGUCUGACUUGCAGCGCAUACUGGUUUCCUUGAGUACGCACAACGUUGGCGGAAUUCGUCGUGUAGCGGUGAAAUGCUUAGAUAUGACGAAGAACUCCGAUUGCGAAGGCAGCUGACGGGAGCGCAACUGACGCUUAAGCUCGAAGGUGCGGGUAUCGAACAGGAUUAGAUACCCUGGUAGUCCGCACAGUAAACGAUGGAUGCCCGCUGUUGGUACCUGGUAUCAGCGGCUAAGCGAAAGCAUUAAGCAUCCCACCUGGGGAGUACGCCGGCAACGGUGAAACUCAAAGGAAUUGACGGGGGCCCGCACAAGCGGUGGAUGAUGUGGAUUAAUUCGAUGCAACGCGAAGAACCUUACCUGGUCUUGACAU
rnacentral:rRNA from 1 species